rnacentral:rRNA from 1 species
AGUGAACGCUGGCGGUAGGCCUAACACAUGCAAGUCGAACGGCAGCACAGUAAGAGCUUGCUCUUACGGGUGGCGAGUGGCGGACGGGUGAGGAAUACAUCGGAAUCUACUUUUUCGUGGGGGAUAACGUAGGGAAACUUACGCUAAUACCGCAUACGACCUACGGGUGAAAGCAGGGGAUCUUCGGACCUUGCGCGAUUGAAUGAGCCGAUGUCGGAUUAGCUAGUUGGCGGGGUAAAGGCCCACCAAGGCGACGAUCCGUAGCUGGUCUGAGAGGGUGAUCAGCCACGCUGGAACUGAGACACGGUCCAGACUCCUACGGGAGGCAGCAGUGGGGAAUAUUGGACAAUGGGCGCAAGCCUGAUCCAGCCAUACCGCGUGGGUGAAGAAGGCCUUCGGGUUGUAAAGCCCUUUUGUUGGGAAAGAAAAGCAGCAGGUUAAUACCCCGCUGUUCUGACGGUACCCAAAGAAUAAGCACCGGCUAACUUCGUG